rnacentral:rRNA from 1 species
GAUGAACGCUGGCGGCGUGCCUAAUACAUGCAAGUCGAGCGCACGGACGAGAAGUUUGCUUCUCUGAUGUUUGCGGCGGACGGGUGUGUAACAUGUGGAUAACCUCCCUAUAAGACUGGGAUAACUUCGGGACACCGUCGCUAAUCCCGUGUCAUCUGUUGAUCCGCAUGGUUCAAUAGUGAAAGACGGUCUUGCUGUCACUUAUAGAUGGUUCCGCGCUGCAUUAGCUAGUUGGUAAGGUAGCGGCCUACCAAGGCAACGAUCCAUAGCCGACCGGGGAGGGGGUUCGCCCACCCGGGAACUGGGCAACGGUCCAGCCUCCUACGGGAGGAGGCGGAAGGGAAUCUUCGGCAAUGGGCGAAGGCCUGACGGAGCAAGGCGGCGUGAGGGAUGAAGGUCUUCGGAUCGUAAAACUCUGUUAUUAGGGAAGAACAUAUGUGUAAGUAACUGUGCACACCGUGACGGUACCUAAUCAGAAAGCCACGGCUAACUACGUG